rnacentral:rRNA from 1 species
GAGUUUGAUCAUGGCUCAGAUUGAACGCUGGCGGUAUGCUUAACACAUGCAAGUCGAACGGUAGCAGCUCUAGCUUGCUAGAGGCUGACGAGUGGCGGACGGGUGAGUAACGCGUAGGAAUCUGCCCAUCAGUAGAGGACAACUCGGGGAAACUCGAGCUAAUACUGUAUAUUACUCUACGGAGGAAAGUAAGGGACCUUAUGGCCUUACGCUGAUGGAUGAGCCUGCGUCGGAUUAGCUAGUUGGUGGGGUAAAGGCCUACCAAGGCGACGAUCCGUAGCUGUUCUGAGAGGAAGAUCAGCCACACUGGGGACUGAGACACGGCCCAGACUCCUACGGGAGGCAGCAGUGGGGAAUAUUGGACAAUGGGGGCAACCCUGAUCCAGCAAUACCGCGUGUGUGAAGAAGGCCUGCGGGUUGUAAAGCACUUUCGUUAGGGAGGAAGGCUUAUACGUUAAUAGCGUAUAGGAUUGACGUUACCUAAAGAAGAAGCACCGGCUAACUCUGUGCCAGCCCG